rnacentral:misc_RNA from 1 species
UACGGAGGGUGCAAGCGUUGUUCGGAAUUAUUGGGCGUAAAGCGUCCGUAGGCGGUCUGGCAAGUCCGAUGUGAAAGCCCGGGGCUCAACCCCGGAGGCGCAUUGGAAACUGCGAGACUUGAGACCGAGAGGGGUCAGUGGAAUUCGUGGUGUAGGGGUGAAAUCCGUAGAUAUCACGAAGAACACCGGCGGCGAAAGCGACUGACUGGAUCGGUUCUGACGCUCGGGGACGAAAGCGCGGGUAGCGAACAGG